rnacentral:rRNA from 1 species
CCACGCAGUAAACGAUGAUUACUAGGAGUUUGCGAUAGACAGUAAGCUCUACAGCGAAAGCGUUAAGUAAUCCACCUGGGGAGUACGCCGGCAACGGUGAAACUCAAAGGAAUUGACGGGGGCCCGCACAAGCGGAGGAACAUGUGGUUUAAUUCGAUGAUACGCGAGGAACCUUACCCGGGUUUGAACGCAUUUGGACCGACCUUGAAAGAGGUCUUCUAGCAAUAGCCAUUUGCGAGGUGCUGCAUGGUUGU